rnacentral:rRNA from 1 species
UUGACGGGGGCCCGCACAAGCGGUGGAGCAUGUGGCUUAAUUCGAAGCAACGCGCAGAACCUUACCAGCCCUUGACAUCCCGGUCGCGGAUCGCAGAGAUGCUUUCCUCAGUUCGGCUGGACCGGUGACAGGUGCUGCAUGGCUGUCGUCAGCUCGUGUCGUGAGAUGUUGGGUUAAGUCCCGCAACGAGCGCAACCCCCGCCUUCAGUUGCCAACGGUUCGGCCGUGCACUCUGGAGGAACUGCCUGUGACAAGCAGGAGGAAGGUGGGGAUGACGUCAAGUCCUCAUGGCCCUUAUGGGCUGGGCUACACACGUGCUACAAUGGCGGUGACAGAGGGAUGCAAUACCGCGAGGUGGAGCAAAUCCCUAAAAGCCGUCUCAGUUCGGAUUGUUCUCUGCAACUCGAGAGCAUGAAGUUGGAAUCGCUAGUAAUCGCGGAUCAGCUCGCCGCGGUGAAUACGUUCCCGGGCCUU